rnacentral:tRNA from 1 species
GGAGUUGUUGCUCAGUAGUUAGAGCACUUGCCUAGCACAUGUGAGGCCCUGAGUUCAAUUCUCAGCACCA